CCUACGGGAGGCAGCAGUGAGGAAUAUUGGUCAAUGGCCGGAAGGCUGAACCAGCCAAGCCGCGUGAAGGACGAAGGUGCCAAGCAUUGUAAACUUCUUUUGUCAAGGGACAAAAUCAGGCUCGAGAGCCUGACCGAGGGUACUUGAAGAAAAAGCAUCGGCUAAUUCCGUGCCAGCAGCCGCGGUAAUACGGAGGAUGCGAGCGUUAUCCGGAUUUAUUGGGUUUAAAGGGUGCGUAGGCGGACUGUGAAGUCAGCGGUAAAAGCCCGGGGCUCAACCCCGGCGAGCCUGUGAAACUGGCUGUCUUGGGAUGUCGAGAGGUAUGCGGAAUGCGCAGUGUAGCGGUGAAAUGCUUAGAUAUUGCGCAGAACCCCGAUUGCGAAGGCAGCCUGCCGCAGCGUUACUGACGCUGAAGCUCGAAAGCGCGGGUAUCGAACAGGAUUAGAUACCCCUGUAGUC
rnacentral:rRNA from 1 species